rnacentral:rRNA from 1 species
UGGCGGACGGGUGAGUAACGCGUGGGUAACCUGCCUUACACAGGGGGAUAACACCUGGAAACAGGUGCUAAUACCGCAUAAGCGCACAGGGCCGCAUGGCCCGGUGUGAAAAACUCCGGUGGUAUGAGAUGGACCCGCGUCUGAUUAGCUAGUUGGUGGGGUAAGGGCUCACCAAGGCGACGAUCAGUAGCCGGCCUGAGAGGGUGACCGGCCACAUUGGGACUGAGACACGGCCCAAACUCCUACGGAAGGCAGCAG